rnacentral:rRNA from 1 species
UACGUAGGGGGCAAGCGUUGUCCGGAAUCAUUGGGCGUAAAGCGCACGUAGGCGGCUUGGCAAGUCGGAUGUGAAAGCCCUCGGCUCAACCAAGGAAGUGCAUCCGAAACUGCUGAGCUUGAGUACUUAAGAGGAUCGCGGAAUUCCCGGUGUAGAGGUGAAAUUCGUAGAUAUCGGGAGGAACACCAGUGGCGAAGGCGGCGAUCUGGGAAGAUACUGACGCUGAGGUGCGAAAGCGUGGGGAGCAAACAGG